rnacentral:rRNA from 1 species
UGGGGAAUAUUGGUCAAUGGGCGCAAGCCUGAACCAGCCAUGCCGCGUGGAUGAUGAAGGCCCUAGGGUUGUAAAAUCCUUUCACCAGGGAAGAUAAUGACGGUACCUGGAGAAGAAGCCCCGGCUAAUUCCGUGCCAGCAGCCGCGGUAAUACGGAAGGGGCUAGCGUUGUUCGGAAUUACUGGGCGUAAAGCGCGCGUAGGCGGACCGUUAAGUUGGGGGUGAAAGCCCGGGGCUCAACCCCGGAACUGCCUUCAAAACUGGCGGUCUUGAGUUCGAGAGAGGUGAGUGGAAUUCCUAGUGUAGAGGUGAAAUUCGUAGAUAUUAGGAAGAACACCGGUGGCGAAGGCGGCUCACUGGCUCGAUACUGACGCUGAGGCGCGAAAGCGUGGGGAGCAAACAGGAUUAGAUACCCCCGUAGUCC